AUUGAACGCUGGCGGCAGGCCUAACACAUGCAAGUCGAGCGGCAGAAGGGAGAUUGCUCCCGGUUACAGCGGCGGACGGGCGAGUGAGGCCGAGGAACAUGGCUAGCUGCGUGGGCGAACGUGCGGAAACGGGCGCUAAUACCGCAAACGUCCAGAGGGCGUACGUGGGGGAUCAUCGGACCUUCCGAUCUCGCACGAGCCUAUGUCGGAUUAGCUAGUUGGCGGGGUAAAGGCCUACCAAGGCGACGAUCCGUAGCUGGUCUGAGAGGAUGAUCAGCCACACUGGAACUGAGACACGGUCCAGACUCCUACGGGAGGCAGCAGUGGGGAAUAUUGGACAAUGGGCGAAAGCCUGAUCCAGCCAUGCCGCGUGUGUGAAGAAGGUCUUCGGAUUGUAAAGCCCUUUUGUUGGGGAAGAAGAGCAGUAGGUUAAUACCCCGCUGUUUUGACGUUACCCACAGAAUAAGCACCGGCUAACUUCGUG
rnacentral:rRNA from 1 species